UACAGGGGGGGCAAGCGUUGUUCGGAAUUACUGGGCGUAAAGGGUCUGUAGGUGGCCAACUAAGUCAGACGUGAAAUCCCUCAGCUUAACUGGGGAACUGCGUCUGAUACUGGAUGGCUCGAGUGUGGGAGAGGAAUGCGGAAUUCCAGGUGUAGCGGUGAAAUGCGUAGAUAUCUGGAGGAACACCGGUGGCGAAGGCGGCAUCCUGGACCGAAAUUGACGCUGAGGCGCGAAAGCCAGGGGAGCAAACGGG
rnacentral:rRNA from 1 species